GAUGACAGACAGACAGACAGACAGACAGACAGACAGACACAUUACCAGGCCAGAGACAAGAGGAAAGACCAGUACGAAUGCAAGAUAGGCCUCAAAAUAAUAGCCCGAAUGAGAGCUAGAAUCAUAGGCAUAGAGAUAGACCAAUAGUUCACCAAUAGGAAUAGAACACAGACGAUAAUGAAUAAAUGGAGUAAUAGAUUGAAGAGGCACAGGAAGAAUCAUGAGAAAAGAGGAAGAAAUGGAAGAAGAAAAGGAAAAAGAAGAUAAGAAGAAAAGGAAGAAAAGGAAAAGGAGGAAGAAAAUGAAAAAGAAGAAAAGGAAGAAGAUAAGAAGACAAGGAAGAUAAGGAAGAAGAGGAAGAAAAAGAAAAUGAAAAAGAAGAAAACGAAGAAAAAGAGAAAGAAGAAGUAAAGGAAAAAAAAUAAUGAGAAGGGAGGGGAAGGAGAGGGAGAGAGACAGGUGGCAAUUUACAUACAUAUACAUACUUUCAACUCCUCAGUCUUGUCCAUAACCUGUCUGCCCACCAAGAAGGAGAACCCACAUGACAGGGCAACAUAACAAACAGUAAACACCCAGACUGUGAGGCAGCAAACACCAACAUCGAUCGCUGUCCGAUUAUGGUGCUCUGUUGCUCUGUUUUGGCUCCACAUCUAACGCCACAACCUCACGGCCUCCUGCCUUGUAUUUCUGGUCUUGCCUUAUGACCUCUGCACCCACGCACAGCACUGCCACCCCCUCUACAGUUCCUCCUCCUUGCUAUCACAGUGAAGGCCACACAGCACAGCCUCUGCCACAGUGCCGGUGUAACACAGAUCUAUGUAUCCGCAGUGUCCGUACAUGCGCUUGUAGAAUAGCAAGCUAUUGCGUACAUCUGGAACGGUCUCCCUCGCCAUUACUGUGUUUAUAGAUACGAGACAAUGCAGUUUCGUUUCCUGCCUGUGCGGUGUGGCAUGUGAGAGAGAAGCGGAAAAUUAGCACAACGUAAUGACAGACUAUGAGGAAAAAGUGAUCUGGUCUGCUUCUUUGUACCACCACUGUCGAUGUGGGCAAUGUUCCUCGCUGCUAUGACCCACAGUUAGUGUUCGGUGUGUGGUAUGAGAGAGCGAAGCGGGAAAUUAGCACAACGUAAUGACAGACUGUUGGGAAAAAGUGGUCUGGUCUGCUGCUUUGUACCACCGCAGUGUCCACGUGGGCAAUGUUCCUCGCUGUUAUGACCCACAGUUAGUGUUCGAUGUGUGGUAUGCGAGAGAGAAGCGGAAAAUUAGCACAAUGUAAUGACAGACUAUGAGGAAAAAGUGAUCUGUUCUGCUUCUUUGUACCACCGCUGUGUCGACGUGGGCAAUGUUCCUCGCUGUUAUGACCCACAGUUAGUGUUCGAUGUGUGGUAUGCGAGAGCGAAGCGGAAAAUUAGCACAACGUAAUGACAGACUAUGAGGAAAAAGUGAUCUGGUCUGCUUCUUUGUACCACCGCUGUCGACGUGGGCAAUGUUCCUCGCUGUUAUGACCCACAGUUAGUGUCGGUGUGUGGUAUGCAAGAGCGAAGCGGAAAAUUAGCACAACGUAAUGACAGACUGUUGGGAAAAAGUGAUCUGGUCUGCUGCUUUGUACCACCGCAGUGUCCACGUGGGCAAUGCUCCUCGCUGUUAUGACCCACAGUUAGUGUUCGAUGUGUGGCAUGCAAGAGCGAAGCGGGAAAUUAGCACAACGUAAUGACAGACUGUGAGGAAAAAGUGAUCUGGUCUGCUGCUUUGUACCACCGCAGUGUCCAUGUGGGCAAUGCUCCUCGCCAGUACGACCUGCUUGUCCGCCACCACCACUAGAUUUGCAGCAUUGGUAACCUUAAUCAUACUUAUUAUUCAUUAAACCUUUAAAUAUACAUGAUUCUGCCCUAACAUCUGUAAAUAAUCAUCUUCGAAUAGGAACUAAAUCAUGGUGUUAAAUAUGUACACUUAUAAUUAUCUGGCUAAUAGUGAAUGACCAAUUAUACAUUUUUACAAACUUUUCUCUCGCUUGUGGUGCACAGUUAUAAUGAUUUGGUUAUGAAUUUUUGAACUAACUGAACUUUUUUUUUAACUUUUGAGUAUAGCCUUUUUGAGAUGUGGAACCAUUUAUUUAACCCGGUAGCAGCGACGAGCCAAAUUUGUGGCUUUACCGUGUAGCAGUGAUGGGCCAAAUUUGUGGCUUUACCGUGUAGCAGUGAUGGGCCAAAUUUGUGGCUUUACCGUGUAGCAGUGAUGGGCCAAAUUUGUGGCUUUACCGUGUAGCAGUGAUGGGCCAAAUUUGUGGCUUUACCGUGUAGCAGUGAUGGGCCAAAUUUGUGGCUUUACCGUGUAGCAGUGAUGGGCCAAAUUUGUGCCAUGAUAUAAACCCCCCAAAAUAGAUGAUACAUAAUCUGAUCACAAAUGCUUUGAUAUAUAUUAAUAAAUGGUUUGUGUGAGGGGUGAUUUUUUCUCAUUUUUCUCGCUUGGAGGGACCAUUAAGAAACACGAUCCCCGCGGCUAACGGGUUAACUCAUGAUUUUUCUCUCCUUUUGCAUGCACCCAUCCUGCGCUCCUCACCCUCCUUCUGGUGACGGCCGAGAACAUACAACCAAACAACUGUGCACUCUAUAAAUCAAUGACCAAAUACAACCAAACACAUUGAAACUAACAAAAAUCCUUAUGACAAAAAGUAAAACUGAGCAAAAGUUUAUUAAGUAGGUAGACCAUGCUCCAAAGUUUCAUAAUCAUAUAUAACAGAAUCAGAGGUACAUAGCGUAAAAAUCAAGGAGCAGUACACAUCAUAGCAUACUACCUUCAAGACAAUGGAACGUUUGAUUAGGGAAAAGAACUAGGGGCCGCUUUCAGUCACUUUGUUUGUUUUGAUCGUUACCCAUGGCGGCGAUCGACGCUAUAGUUUUCCACGUGAAACUGGCCUAUGGGGUAGUGGCGGCCGCAGAGGAAGCGAGAGGUGUUGAGAGUGUGUGCCAAAUUGCGGGGCUAGGCUAACUCCACAGCCUCCACUACCCCAUCAGCCAGUUUCAAGUGGAAAUGCUAUAACAUCGAUCGCCGCCAUUGGUAACGACCAAAACUAACAAAAUGACUGUGAAAGCGGCCCUAGGUACAUGUGUGUAUAAGUUUUGUAAAUAAUAAUGGAAUAUCGAUAUGCAUGUUUAUAAAAAUUAUGCAAUAGUGCCAUGAACCAGGAAUAAACUGUAAACGGAGAUGGAUUCAUAAACUUGACCUAAGGAACAGCACUGUGAAUAGUCAGCAUUAAGUAGGGUCAGUGCUGAUCGGCCGCCAACAGCACUGUGCUCACUAGACACAGCAUCCACCGGCAGCUGUCGCUUCCUUACACUUCCUUACAAAACACCCAGUCAGGGCAGCCCAUUCAAGUUUCAUAUUGAGUAAGGAGGAAAAAACAGUAGAGCAUAUGACUGACUGACUGGCUAACGAUACAAGGAUGAUAUCAACACACCCACAUCCUUCACAACGGCCAAUCCGGGCAGCCCAUUCACUUUCCAUAAUGAGUAAAAAGAGACAAAACAGUGCAGAUUCUGACUGACUGACUGAAUGAUAAUAUAGAGAUGCACAUCCUUCACAAUAGCCAAUCCGGGCAGCCCAUUCACUUUCCAUAAUGAGUAAAAAAAGACAAAACAGUACAGAUUCUGACUGACUGACUGAAUGAUAAUAUAGAGAUGCACAUCCUUCACAAUAGCCAAUCCGGGCAGCCCAUUCACU